ACCUUCCUCUAAAUCCAACCUACAGCAAAAGCAUACACAUCUGCAGUAUUAGCCCUUAUUUUAAUGUAAUUAUGUGUUAUGAAUAAUAUUUAUUGGGGAUUCAAGAUUUAUAUUGUACCUACAGCUUACUUUUAAGUUAUACUGUAGACUCUGAGACUUUUAGCUCUGAAAAGUAACAAAAUAUGCUUUAAAAACAACCAAUUAUAAACAAUUUUUUUAUUGAAAUUGUAUAAUAAAAACUUGACAUAAUUAAAUUUAUUUUUUUUUACUUUUAAUGGUUCUGCAAAAGUGUUGAGUUCUGAGAUGAAUAAUUCAAGUUAUUGAUUAAAUUUUAUACUUAUUUAUUAACUAAAUUAACUAUUUUAUAAUAAUCAAUUUGACAAUGUUAUUACACACCAGAAUGUAUGAAUUUGAACAAUGUAAAUCGUAAUAAGUAUGUAUAAUAUGUAGCAUAUGAUUAUUUAAAAUACGAGUAUUAAAUGUCCUUUUUUAGCACUUAAAAGCUAAUCAUUGUAACUACUUAGAUAAUUAUUUAAAGACUAAAUGAAAAAAAAAUAUAGAAAUAUAUACUAAUCAUAUUUAUCUGUUGAGGUAUAAAUUUAGGUAUAUUGAGGUAUUAAAUCAAAAAUUGAAAUAAUACAAAUACCAAAAAUAUAAACAAAUUAAUUGUGAAAUCUACAUUAUAACAAGAAUUUUACUAUGACAUUGAUUAUAAGGGUUAAAAAAAAAUCAGUUUACUACCCUAACAAAUUACUAGUGUCAUUUAAGACUUAUAACAUAGAUACUUCAAUAUACUUUAUAAUAUUAUCCACAAUAUAUCAGUAAUUUCUAUACAGUUUCAAAUAUUUUGUAUUAUUAUUUUAUUAUUGCUAUUUAAAAAUGUGUUAAUCUUGAUAAUUAAAUUAUAAUAUAUUAUUAUUAUUAUUUAUUUAUUGUUAAUAUUUGAUUAACAAAAGUUAUUUAUAGAAAUUAAUUUUAAGUGUAACUAAAUGAUUUUAGUAUAUUGACCAAAAUAAUAAAUUAG